CUACGUGCCAGCAGCCGCGGUAAUACGGAAGGUUCGGGCGUUAUCCGGAUUUAUUGGGUUUAAAGGGAGCGUAGGCCGGAGAUUAAGUGUGUUGUGAAAUGUAGACGCUCAACGUCUGACUUGCAGCGCAUACUGGUUUCCUUGAGUACGCACAACGUUGGCGGAAUUCGUCGUGUAGCGGUGAAAUGCUUAGAUAUGACGAAGAACUCCGAUUGCGAAGGCAGCUGACGGGAGCGCAACUGACGCUGAAGCUCGAAGGUGCGGGUAUCGAACAGGAUUAGAUACCCUGGUAGUCCGCACAGUAAACGAUGGAUGCCCACUGUUGGUACCUGGUAUCAGCGGCUAAGCGAAAGCAUUAAGCAUCCCACCUGGGGAGUACGCCGGCAACGGUGAAACUCAAAGGAAUUGACGGGGGCCCGCACAAGCGGAGGAACAUGUGGUUUAAUUCGAUGAUACGCGAGGAACCUUACCCGGGCU
rnacentral:rRNA from 1 species